CCUACGGGAGGCAGCAGUGGGGAAUUUUCCGCAAUGGGCGAAAGCCUGACGGAGCAACGCCGCGUGAGGGAUGAAGGCCACUGGGCUGUAAACCUCUUUUAUCAAGGAAGAAGAUCUGACGGUACUUGAUGAAUAAGCCACGGCUAAUUCCGUGCCAGCAGCCGCGGUAAUACGGGAGUGGCAAGCGUUAUCCGGAAUUAUUGGGCGUAAAGCGUCCGCAGGCGGUCUUGUAAGUCUGUCGUUAAAGCGUGGAGCUCAACUCCAUUUCGGCGGUGGAAACUACAAGACUAGAGUGUGGUAGGGGCAGAGGGAAUUCCCGGUGUAGCGGUGAAAUGCGUAGAUAUCGGGAAGAACACCAGUGGCGAAGGCGCUCUGCUGGGCCAUAACUGACGCUCAUGGACGAAAGCUAGGGGAGCGAAAGGGAUUAGAUACCCCUGUAGUCCUAGCCGUAAACGAUGAACACUAGGUGUCGGGGGAAUCGACCCCCGUCGGUGUCGUAGCUAACGCGUUAAGUGUUCCGCCUGGGGNGUACGCACGCAGUGUGUAACGUAAAGUAGUAGUAGACGGCGUGUAAGUAGUAGUUCGAACGACGACGACGAGGGAGGAGG
rnacentral:rRNA from 1 species